CUAUGCUCAAUCCUGUUCUAUUCACAGAUGCUUUGAAGAACAGAUCAAAUUGUCUGUGAGAACUUCAGUGGGAAAUAUAAGUUUAUUCUGGUUCCUACAAACUGAAGGUUCUUUGCUUCACAUUUCCAUACUCAUCUCCCUGUAAAAGCCUAGCAUAGACAGGACAAAAAUGCAAAUACUUUCUAGGUGUAGCAGUCUAGACACUCUUUCCACGUCUUCCUUUCCCACUGCUUCUGCCCUUAAGGGUUUACCUUGAGCAGCAACAUUAAAAUAAACUAGUGCCAUGAAACUGUAGACAAGAACAUACCCAAAGAAGCAAUAUACCCUCACUGUGACUCCCUUCUCCAUAGCUACCUCGUUGCAAUGGGAACGGCUCCCAGGAGGACUCAGCAGCCUGUCAUCCUUUCUCCUGCUUUGUUCCACAGGACCAGGGGUUAGUCAUAGCCUGAUGAGGUCCCUUCCUGUCUCCUUCCUCUGCCACAUCUUUGUGCCGUCACUUGCAUCCAGGUCUCACCCCUAAACCACACCAGGAGGUUUAACCUGAGGCAAAUACAACAAAACAAGCAAACAAACCUGUCUGCCAAGUGUUAAUUGCACAUGGAGCGGUACCCGGGCAAAACACAGCAGAAUGGAUUCGUCUGCAGCAGCCGGUGGGACAAGCUGCUGUGAGGAAGUCAUUGCAGAUGGUGAUGCCAUGGAGCUGGGCUGCACAGCGGGGCAAAGGGGAACCUCAAUCAAGUCUUCCUUAUUUUUCUGCCUGUUGGAGUCACUUCCUCCUGGAGGGUUAAACACAAGAGAGACUACCCAGCAGAGCAUCUCGGGCAGCGCAGAACAGAAGAAGGAGACAAUCUUGUUGCUGUUUUUAUUUCUCCUGCAUAUAUUUAGAUGUUCAAAUACAACAAAAGAAGCAAGGUCAGCUCCCACUUUACUGCUUGCAUGGUCUGCAGGCAGGUCCAAAAGAUCUGGUUUGUAAAUGGAGUAGGAGACACCCAUGCUGCUUCUGUCAAAGAUUCAUAAAGCCAAUGAGGAAAGC
rnacentral:lncRNA from 1 species